AAGUCGUAACAAGGUUUCCGUAGGUGAACCUGCGGAAGGAUCAUUAAUGAAGUCUGGUUUCAACCUCUCUCUUCUACACACUUGUGAACUUACACUGUUGCUUGGCAGGUCUCCAGAAGGGUGAAACCGGACGGUCAGGUCGAAGGCGCUGCCAAAGACAUUUAUCCACCCUUUUUAUUGUCUGAUUUUGUUUAAACAAAUUAUAAAAAAA
rnacentral:misc_RNA from 1 species